AUUCCUGCGAAUAGGCAAU
rnacentral:snRNA from 1 species